CAAGUAGCUGGGAUUACAGGCAUCUGCCAUCACGCCUGGCUAAGUUUUUGUAUUUUUAGUAAAGACGGGGUUUCACCAUGUUGGCCAGGCUGGUCUCGAACUCCUGGCCUCAGGUGAUCCGCCCGCCUCGGCCUCCCAAAGUGUUGGGAUUACAGGCAUGAGCCACCGCGCCGGCCCACCUGUUUCUGAAGGCACCUAUUCCUGGGAGGGGUAACACAUUAAACUAUUAACUCUUCAUCGGGCUUCCCAAGUGGGCGGCCCGGCCACAAGGAAGGGGACUUUGGAGUCGGGAAGGGCUGGCUCUGGAACACGGGACAAGGGUCUGAACCCCAAGGCGCAGUCCUGUGACCAUGCGGGCCGGGCCGGGGAGGAGCCUGGGGUGAACCCCACCCGCCUGGUCUCCUCCCACCCCUCCCUCUCGGGUCCCGGGGCCUCUCUUUCUCUUCUCCAGGUCCUCCAGCCCAGCCACUGCUCACAGGGGUGGUUUUUGCUUUGUUAGUUGGGUUCAGGCCACGAGAAGGGGGAACCCUAAAGUUUUCCUUCCCUGCCAGGUCGCCUCUGAGAGCGCAGAAGGGAGAAACGGCAUUUGUUCAUUUAAACGGGCUCCUAGGACGAGAACCCGGGGACGCCAGGGCCUCGCGGGCCGGCCUGGGCCACAGGUGUCCCCGGCGCGGAGGUCGCAGCGCCCCGGCCCCUCUCAC
rnacentral:lncRNA from 10 species